rnacentral:lncRNA from 7 species
UUUUGCUCGCUCUUUUCACAGCUUAUUCCAAUGUGAUUCUGGAUGUCAAAGGCUGAUGGAAACAAGACAAAUUAUCCUCAUGCAGAUGUUCUGAAACUACUCCCCUAGUUGAUAAGAAAACUGAGACAAAGAGUGGUCAAGGUUAUCCAGCAGGUCUGCGAGAGAGCAAGGGAUGGAAUCUACUGUAACCACUAACUGCAGGUCCAAAAAACGGUGUGUGAGUUUAGCAUCUGAGCAGCAUUUUUACUGCUGGUCUCUCUCUGUGCUCUGAAGUAACACUCCACUCUGAGGUAGCUGAAUCACAGAAAGAGAUGGGAGGAAGGAAGUCACCCUCCAUCUUCUGAAGCCGAGGCCUACAGGUCUCACCUCAGCAUAACAUGAACAACUGCCAUGGUAGUGGAGCUGUCAUUACUUGACUAGUUGGGAUCUGGUGUGGCAAGUCCUACUGAACUGCAGCAAAAUAGCAAAACGUGAUACCUGAGCUAUGAAGGCUAGCUGGAUUGGAUGUGUGAAUGCAGGGGGCCAGCUGGUGGCCGCUUUUCAACCAAGGCAAGCACUAGUAAUGCUUGUGAAUCUGAAGAGCUCUUGCGCAGUAAGAGAGCCCCCACCCACUGAGAUCCCAUUGGAGUCCUGCGACAAGUGCUGUGACAGUCUGUACUCAGCUGCUUAAAAUUCUCUUCCUGCCAUCAAAGUAUACUUAGAUAGUAAAGGGUCUGUGUAAUACCACUUUGGUAAAAAAAAAAAAAAAAAACAUAAAGGUAGACAAUGCAGAAUAUUCUUAAGAGAAUGUUAAUAGCGAUGAGAGAAUGAUGAUAAUAUUAAUUAUAGCAUUAUCAGUAGCCAUGGAAUUUCCAGUUUUUGUAAGAGCUCCAACGUUUUUCUGGAAGCUGUGUAAAGGCAGCCUGGCAUCAUUUUCUUGGUGGGAAGUUAGAGCAGUUUCUGUAGACAAAAUAUAGAAAGCUUAGUGCUCUGUGUUAUAGUUCAGAAGAUCAAUAGGUCCCUUUGUUUGGGGAUUCUGAUGUUAAAAGAAAAAACCUCUUGUUUAUGUGCUGCCUUGGCCUAUUAGCCUUGUCUGUUACUAAUAAAAGUUCUUUCAGAGCACUCUAAGUGAUCAGAGUCUUGACCAACUUUCCAGCAAAAGCAUUAGUUAGGAAAAAAUAGACAUGAAAAAGAAAAGCCUGCUAAAGUCUGUCUUUCUACAGGCAAUAUAUCUUUGGGUGUAAAUUUCAAAGUGGGUAGAGAGCAUAAUUCUGUUUGGCAUGGAAAUAUAUACUAAGUGAAAAUUAAAAAACAAGAAGUCAGGAAAUAUUCUUAGCUUAUCAGUUCUAUGGGUGUAUUAGAAACUUGGAUGUGAAUAGUUUUCAACAUGAGAAGUUAACUGCAUGCUUCUGAACUGUUAUUGCAAAAUAAGAGGAAGGGGGAAGUGUAAUAACUAAUGUUUUGGGUUGGGCUUCUUUCUGUGUUUUUUUACGUAUCUUUUAACAGCUGUGGGCAUGGGAGCAUGGAACGGACAUGUUUCUAUUCUUAAACUGAAAAGAAAAUAACCUUCAGAAAUGUUCACUGGACAACACUCAAAAUCUCAAGGAAUUCAAAUUUUUCUCCAGGCAAAGGAGGCCAUUUUAUGGAAAGACAAAUCUCAGGAACUGCCCAAAGAGACCCAAAUUUUUCAAGAUCUUUCCUCUACAUUUGUUUUUGCAUAGUCUUCACUUCCACACCCAACCUACUGGUGUGGUUAAGAGCACUACAAAUAGAACUUCUACGUAAUGAGAAAAAUCUUAAUAAAAUGAAAAUUUUGAGGAAGG